UUAUAUAUAUGUAUCUAUAUGGUGAAAAAUAUAUUUUAAAAUAUUAAUUACAAUUCAUGUAGUUUGAUCUCGAAAAGUAUAGUAGUGACAAAUAAAAAUGUAUAAAGGGAGUAAAUACAACCCUUUUAGUUCAGAAAUUAAAAAAUGGGAUAAAUUUAAGCAUUGUUUUUAUAUUACUAUAUUUGGCUUAAAAUAAAACUCAUCGAUAAAAGAAAAGCCGCCAUUAAAAUAAUAUAUACUUUAUGAAUCAUGACUAUGUAUAUGCAACAACUUGUGCUUUUUUUAAUUAAUUAAAAAAAAAAGUGAAUCACCCUUGGAUGCUUUAUAUAAUAGCAGUCAGAGAGAGAAAGUAAACAUCACGAGAGUUAGAGGUGGAGUCAGAAUUUUUACGAAAGGUAUAUAAAAUUUUAAAAAAAAUUAAUCGAAGGAGAUUUGACAUUAUAUAUAUAUAUAAUGUAUAAAUAAUAUAAUUUUUGAUCGAAGUCGAUUCAGUGAACUCCCACGUCGACGGCUGGCUCCGCCUGAUGGGAGCUGGGACACCAAUGAGUGAGUCUAAAGAUGAAGCUAGAAUAUCGACUUUGAGUUCGAUUAAGCUCAAUAAUUUUUAUAUUUAUUUUAAAAUAUUAUUAAAUUUGUAUGAAUUAUAUAUUAAUUUAAAAUUUAAUAAUUUAUGAAAAUAAAAUUGAUCAAAAUUUAUAAACUUUAAAUUUUGAUUUUACACUCACAAUACUACCCCCCGAAUAACAUAUGUUUUGAGAUUUAGACAUAUUUGUAUUUAAACAAUUUAAAGGCCUAUAUAUGUGUGUGUUUUAGGUCUUUCACUAAUCAAAAAAGUGGCUAACAAGAUAUUCCUACCUCACAAGCUCUCUUUCUUUUUUUUUAUUUUGUACUUGCAACACUCGCUGGUAGGUAUUUCUUUAUCAUUCUCUUUUAUAAGUGGGUUGAUUUUAUCGAUUUUCACUUAAUUAUAAUCAAAGUUAUUAUUCGUUCUAUGUAACCUUAUUCUAAGUAUAUAUUAUAGACAUAUAAUUUUAUCCAUUUUAUCCUUUCUCGAAAGUAUUCUUAUCAUUUUACCCUCGUCUUAGUGUGUGUCCUCACCCGUGUGAUAACCCUUCACAAAAAAACAAAAAUAACAAUUCCUAAUUAAUUUUAUCUUAUUCUAACAAUUUCUCCCUAUUAAAAAUCACACAUCACCAUCACCACCCUAACUACCCAUGUGAGCCCCCUCCUUUUUCUUGUCCACAAAGAAAGAAUAUAUGGAGGACCCACCAAAAUUCCCACAUCAUAACAAAUCCAUGCCCAUUAUAAAAGAAAAAUUCUAAGAGGGAAAAAGGAGAGGCUCAUUCUUUGAUCAUCAUCUUCUCCACAAUAACAACAAUCACAAAAUAAUCUUACUCACAAGAACAACAACAACAACAACAAAAAAAGGCGCCGGUGAACAGUAACCGGUGAACUGUAACUGGUGAACAGUACCAGUGAACAGUAACGACGCAAAAAGUGACGGUGAACGGAUCAUUAUUUGUCGAGUUGGAUUGUUGGUGUUAAGGUUCGGCUCGAGGUUUUCGAGUGUGGACUCUCUUUAUUCGAAUAACAUUGAGUUUGAAAGCUUCAAAUUUAAGUUUGUUUUCGAACAAUAGAGUGGUGGCUUUUCGAGACUUACCUUUAGAAGUACAAGUGAUUAAGCAGAUUGUACUACCAGAUCUAAGCUACACUCAUCGUUGUUUUGAACGUUGUGAAAUUCAUUUUGAUUGUAGAAAAUUGCUAGAUUGUGGUUAUUGUCGACGACAAAGUUCUAAAUCGCCAUUUAAGAGAUGUUUGACUCCAUGUUGACCUUUUUUUGAUGGGCAGAUUCUACAAAGGUCGAAUUUAGAUUAAGAAUUUUUUCAAUAUGAUUUUUUUUUUUUUAUUUGUUGGAUGAUAAAUGUAAGCUUAUUUUUUAAAUUUUCGUCAUUCGUCUCUAUCAAAAUGAUCCAAUAUAGGAGGGCGGGUUUUGAGAUAAAUUAUUAGAGAUAAAGUAUAAAUUAUGAGUUCAACCGAAUUAUAUUUAAA